rnacentral:rRNA from 1 species
AGAGUUUGAUCAUGGCUCAGGAUGAACGCUAGCGGCAGGCUUAAUACAUGCAAGUCGAGGGCAGCAUGUCACGCAGCAAUGCGUGAUGAUGGCGACCGGCAAACGGGUGCGGAACACGUACAGAACCUUCCUUUCGAGCGGGGAAUAGCCCAGAGAAAUUUGGAUUAAUACCCCAUAGUAUUGUGGAGUGGCAUCACUUUGCAAUUAAAGAUUUAUCACUUGAAGAUGGCUGUGCGGCUGAUUAGAUAGUUGGUGAGGUAACGGCUCACCAAGUCUGCGAUCAGUAACUGGUGUGAGAGCACGACCAGUCACACGGGCACUGAGACACGGGCCCGACUCCUACGGGAGGCAGCAGUAAGGAAUAUUGGUCAAUGGACGCAAGUCUGAACCAGCCAUGCCGCGUGGAGGAUGAAGGCCCUCUGGGUUGUAAACUUCUUUUAUCUGGGACGAAAAAGGGCCUUUCUAGGUCAACUGACGGUACCAGAGGAAUAAGCACCGGCUAACUCCGUGCCAGCAGCCGCGGUAAUACGGAGGGUGCAAGCGUUAUCCGGAUUCACUGGGUUUAAAGGGUGCGUAGGUGGGUUGGUAAGUCAGUGGUGAAAUCUCCGAGCUUAACUUGGAAACUGCCAUUGAUACUAUCAGUCUUGAAUAUUGUGGAGGUCAGCGGAAUAUGUCAUGUAGCGGUGAAAUGCUUAGAUAUGACAUAGAACACCAAUUGCGAAGGCAGCUGGCUACGCAUAUAUUGACACUGAGGCACGAAAGCGUGGGGAUCAAACAGGAUUAGAUACCCUGGUAGUCCACGCCCUAAACUAUGGAUACUCGACAUACGCGAUACACUGUGUGUGUCUGAGCGAAAGCAUUAAGUAUCCCACCUGGGAAGUACGGUCGCAAGAUUGAAACUCAAAUGAAUGACCUG